CAUUUGGGCCAGUUUUAACAAUA
rnacentral:piRNA from 1 species